rnacentral:rRNA from 1 species
AGACGCCGGCGGCNCNNCUAAAGCAUGCNCGUCCAACGGACCUUUUUAAGGGGUAACCCGAAAUUAGGUUAGUGGCGAACGGGUGAGGAAUGUAUGGAUAACGUACCCCGGACACAGGGAUAGCGGCGGAACUUCGGUUCCUUUGCGAAAGCGCCGGUAAUACCUGAUGAUCCCAUGGAGUCGCAUGGCUCUAUGGGCAAUGCUCCGACGGUCUGGGAUCGAUCCAUAUCCUAUCAGCUUGUUGGUGAGGUAACGGCUCACCAAGGCUUCAACGGGUANCGGGCGUGAGAGCGUGGCCCGCCACAUCGGGACUGAGACACUGCCCGGACACCUACGGGUGGCUGCAGCAACGAAUAUUCCGCAAUGGACGAAAGUCUGACGGAGCGACGUCGCGUGCAGGAAGAAGUCCUUCGGGAUGUAAACUGCUGUCAGGGGCUAGGAAACACGACCACCCACAGGAANCCUGCUAACUCCUGCCANCACCCCGGUAACACGGAAAGUGCAACGUUNUCCGAAUCUUUGGCUUAAAACCUNUAGCCGGAUNUANGUNUUUUUAAAUCCUGGCUACCAGAAUGCNGGCAACCNCNUCUUAAC